AGCGCUGCAGUAACCAGCUCCAGACACGCAGUGUAGCCAAUGGCAGGCAGUGACGGGGACGAGACUCCCUAGUGUCACCCACGAUGCUAGUGAGGCUCGUCACCACCUGCCAUUAGGAUACGCCCCACCCCUUUUAUUUAAAAAAAAAUAUAUAAAAAUAAAAAUAUAAAACCCUAGUUGCACCACUUUCUAGGCGCAGACACAUUAGUAAUUCUGGGUCAGUGUAUGUACACUCAGUACCCAACUUUUUAUAUAGACGUAGUUGCUCGGCCAACAUUUUAAUUUCUAAGUUACAGAUAUAGUAUAGGUAUAAGUGAAUCAAUUUGUCUCGUCAACAACAGCUCAUCAUCUGCGAGGGGCUGCCCAAGGAGCAUGCCCCCCUGCUGCUUGAUGGACAGCGCUAGAGGCUCUGCUUCUAUAGCGGAG